rnacentral:rRNA from 1 species
AACGAACGCUGGCGGCAGGCCUAACACAUGCAAGUCGAGCGAGUCCUUCGGGUCUAGUGGCGCACGGGUGCGUAAGGGGAGGGAACCUGGCCUUAGGGUCGGGAUCACCCCCCUAAAGGGGGGCUAAUACCGGUAAAUGUCUGCGGUCAAAGGAUGUAUCGCCUUUGGAUGGCGCCGAGUUGGCCUAGCUAGGUGGUAGGGUAAAAGCCUCCCCAGGCGACGAUCCAUAGCGCGUCUGAGGGGAUGUUCGGCCAGACUGGGACUGGGACCCGGCCCGGACUCCUGCGGGAGGCAGCGGUACGGAAGCCUGGACACUGCGCUCAGGCCAGAUCCAGCAAUGCCGCGUGCGUGAUUAAGGCCUUAGCGUUGUAAAGCACUUUUACCCGAGAUCAUCAUGACAGUACCAGGAGAAUAAGCUCCGGCUAACUCCGUG